CCUAAGCUGGCUUCCACUCAGAGUAACCCCCCUUCCAAGCCUGGCCUGGGCUGUCCAGGUGUUGGCAGAAGUGGGAGCCUCAGAAGGCCUGGCAGAGGGUCAGGGCCCUGUUUGCCUUGAACAACCACCGGAGCCAGGUGGUCACUUUUCCCUGCAAGGCCCCACGGCCCAGCCAAGCCACAGGGAGCACACAAACAGGCCCAGGCUGGCCAGUGAGUAGACAAGGAGCAUACCCCUUCCACCGCUUCCGUCCCGUCUAUCCAGGCACCUCACAGGAUCCGCUGGAUUCUAGAUCUGGUCAGUGAAGUGGCCAGGUUCAGCGCUUAACGUGCCCUGAGCAUGCCAAAAGGGGACCCUCUCUGGGCCCCUCUCCUCAGAACCAGCAGUGUGAGCACCUAAAGGGUCUCUCUGAAGACUCUCAGAAGUAACAUCCCCUCUGAGGGAAGACACACAGUCCUGGCCUCUGGUGGGGGCUAAGCCUACUGUUGCCAACUCAGAAUGGAAUCCUGGGACUUCAGAUCCCAUUGCUGCACACCUUCUGCCUGCAAGCCCUGCUCAUCUAGGACACCUGGCCUGCAGGCUGCAGUGGGCAGGCCGUGAUAGCCCACACUCUCCAGUCCUCACCCCAGGGAGGUGACAGAGGGGCAGACCAGGAGGAAGGCACUGAGGUUCAAGAGGGAUAUCCCUGUGUCCCAGGGGUGUGAGAGAACUCAGCCCUGCAGGGUACCCUUAAAGAGGCACAGCCUUGCCCCCGGGUCCUGAGAGGUCACUGGCUCUGGGACUAGGGAUGUGAAGCUUCCAGACAACUUCCAGGUUGGGUCUUUCCUUGUCUUUGAUGCCUUCUUGACCAACCACAGAAUGACUCUAGCCUGAGGCUACCACAGCAAACUGAGGCAGGGCUGGUCUGGGAGAGGUAGAGGAGAAAGCUCCUGCUGGUUUUACACACACACACACACACACACACACACACACACACACACACACACACACGCUGUGUUACCCUGGCCAAGCGGUUACCCUUUCUGAGCCACAGCUUCUCAAAGUCAGGCUCUGUGCACUCUGAGGCCCCACCUCUCUCUCAUGUGCGACCCCAGGUUAGCUUCCUGGACUUCCUGGGCUGGGCUUUUGUCUUCCUGCCUUGGGCAGAUCCUCAAGGACUCAUGGGUAAAUUCAUCUACAACUUCCUCCUAGUUCAACAUCACAGUCAUGCAGGCCAGACUGGAGGAUGGAUUCUGGGACAGGAGAAGGUGGGCUCUUGGCUCCUUCAUCAACUUCCGUGGAUCCAGUCACUUCCAGUAAUGGCCAGGCAUAGGAGGCCCUUUGCCAGAAUACCUCUACUAGUCAUGUAAAGUGCUGGUCCAUCCAAGUCAACUUGACCCAGACUCUAUGGCAUUUGUGAAUCAAAGGGUAAUGUUGGUGUGGUCCACACAGUGGUUCUUGUGCUCAGUGGCCAUGCUGCUAUAUACUACGUGCUCCAGGAAGAUCACCCACAUCACUAAGAAAGAAGGGUGCAUUGUGCUUGGAUUUCCAUGUGUGUGUGAACUUGUAUAUUUACUUGUAUUUGUGUCUGCUUGUGGUUCUGUUGGCAUGUAUACCUGUGUCUGUCUGUCUGUGUGCCAGUAUGUAUUUAUAUCAUGUUUGUAUAUGUCUGUAUGUCUUUACACAUAUAUGUCUUUUAGUGCAUCCAA
rnacentral:lncRNA from 1 species